UGAGGAAUAUUGCGCAAUGGACGAAAGUCUGACGCAGCAACGCCGCGUGAGUGAUGAAGGCCCUCGGGUCGUAAAGCUCUGUCGUGUGGGAAGAUGUGACACGAGUAACGAUCGUGUUGUGACGGUACCACAGAAGGAAGCACCGGCUAACUCCGUGCCAGCAGCCGCGGUAAUACGGAGGGUGCAAGCGUUGUCCGGAAUUAUUGGGCGUAAAGCGCGUGUAGGCGGCUCGUUAUGUCGGAUGUGAAAUCCUGCGGCUCAACUGCAGAACUGCGUUCGAAACUGGCGAGCUUGAGUGCGAGAGGGGGAGGUGGAAUUCCCGGUGUAGAGGUGAAAUUCGUAGAUAUCGGGAAGAAUACCGGUGGCGAAGGCGACCUCCUGGCUCGUAACUGACGCUCAG
rnacentral:rRNA from 1 species